GUUUUGAUCCAUUGGGACUUGCGGAGGACCCAGAGAACUUGAAAUGGUUCAUCCAGGCUGAACUGGUGAAUGGUCGUUGGGCUAUGUUGGGUGUUGCAGGGAUGCUGUUGCCUGAAGUUUUCACUAGCAUUGGGAUACUUAAUGUGCCCAAAUGGUACGAUGCUGGAAAAUCAGAGUACUUUGCAUCAUCAUCCACCCUGUUUGUGAUCGAGUUCAUCUUGUUCCACUACGUCGAGAUCAGAAGGUGGCAAGACAUUAAGAACCCAGGAAGUGUCAACCAAGACCCUAUCUUCAAGAACUACAGCUUGCCUCCUAAUAAAUGUGGAUACCCUGGUGGUAUUUUCAACCCACUCAACUUUGCACCAACUGAAGAGGCCAAGGAGAAGGAACUUGCUAAUGGUAAGUGGAUGUUCACUUUCUCUAAAUGACUUUAUAUACCUGAACCAGGCUAAUUAUUUUAGGUGGAUAAUUUGCAGGGAGAUUGGCUAUGUUGGCAUUUUUGGGAUUUAUAGUGCAGCACAAUGUGACUGGGAAGGGACCUUUUGACAACCUUCUGCAGCACCUCUCUGACCCAUGGCACAACACCAUCAUCCAAACACUCAGCAACUAGAAAAC
rnacentral:lncRNA from 1 species